rnacentral:ncRNA from 1 species
UGGUCUACGAGUUGUUAUACGUAGCGUAGUGAGUAGUCUUUGAAGUAUCGAUUUAGGUCGGUAUGGAGACGCCAAUGAAACACUCAUUUUAACGAUUUGCAGCUCUAACUGGUGGUACCCUUGAAGGGAAUUGUUCCCUUGUUUAGGGUGCUUGUGGAGUGGCUUGCUUGUAUGCCGCCCUCUACCGCACCCUCCUUUCAAGGGUAUCAUCAAGACAGUGUCUGGUGGGCAGUUUAAGUGGGGUACUUGCCUUAAGGCGAUAGUAAUUCCAUUACUGCGUGUUUUUAAAAUACGCAAACUAUCGUGUGGGGCGGUCUGAUAGCAAUAUUAGACGCAAAUUCAGCUGUAUGCUGGAACAACUGUUUCUUCAAUGAAUGUAGUAUCUUUGAGUACCUGUCGAAGGUUAAAAUCUCAAAGGGCAGUUAAUCAGCAGGGAAGUCUCCGCCAGUCGGCGGAUGACCCCUCAACGACUACACGCUGGACUCCUUAUUAUGUAAAAGGAGCAUGAUAUAGUCUGAACUUGUAAGCGAUUACAAGGUCCUUUCAGGACACCUAACAAAAUGAGAACAAAACAAAUUGAACUUUAUAAAGAAAAGCUCAAACUGUCCGAUUAUCAAAAAGAAGUUUUAAUCGGAUUAUUAUUGGGCGACGGCCAUUUGGAAACACAAAACAAUGGCAAAACUUAUCGGUUGAAAAUAGAACACACUUACUGGCAAAAAGAAUAUACUGAUUGGUUAUAUCAAAUCUUUAAAGAUUGGGUAUUAACUGCUCCGCAGGAAAAAGAACAAGCGGUAAAUGAUGUUUUAUACAAGAAAUAUUGGUUUUCAACCGUAAGUCAUGGAGCAUUCAGAUUUUAUGCGCAACAGUUUUAUCAAAAUAAGCAUAAAAUUUUGCCAAAGUUAAUUCAUAAAUGGCUUUCACCAUUGGCAAUAACAGUGUGGUUUAUGGAUGACGGUUCAUUAAAAUCAAAUCGUCAUAGAGCGUUAAUUUUUAACACGCAAAGUUUUUCUAAGACAGAAGUAUUGAGAUUAAGCAAAAUAAUGGAAGAUAAGUUUGGCAUAGCCAUGGCCCUUAGGAAACAAAGCCGAAAGACCGAAGAACUUUAUCAGUUGAUUACCAUUAAAGAUGGCGCAGAAAAAUUAGCGGAACUCAUAAAACCGUAUAUAUUGCCGUCCAUGAAAUAUAAAUUGGGAAAAUUAGGUUAACACAAUUGCCUAAAAAGUAAUGGAGGCGUUCAUCAAGGUCGGCUAGCUCCGGAUGGAAAUCGGAGCGAUAGCGUAAAGGCAAAAGCCGGCUUUACUGCAAGGCGGAUGUGCCGCGCAGUUGCGAAAGCAGGACUUAGUGAACCGACUCUAACUCGUAGGAGUGGAGAAGAUCAUCAACUAAAAGCUACUCCGGGGAUAACAGGCUGGUACCGCUCGAGCGUUCAUAGCGACGGCGGUGUUCGGCACCUUAACAUAUCGGGGUGCUA